AGUGGAUGCUCCUUCACUGGAGGAAGAGUUAUUAUAGAUUAUGUAUUUGAGUUAAAAACAUCUUAAUGCUGGAUUUGUUUCAUCUUUUGUCUUCUCCAGAUGUUAACUGAUGGACUGGAGUGCUAUGGAUUACUUGUGGAUUAUUGUGAUGUUUUUAUCAGCUGUUUGGACUCUCAUUCUGACGGCACCCAUUCACUGCAGAGCAUCCAUUGCUGAGACACUGAUGCAGUGCUACAUUUCUUCAAACCUGAUGAAGAAACAAACUCAACCUGAUCUUGAAUGGCCUGAGGGUACAUUUUCAACACAUUUUAAUUGGGGCUCGUCACCAUGGCAACCACAAGCAAUGGCGAGGCUAAUAAAGGAAGCGUCUCUCUCUCUCUCUCUCUCUCUCUCUCUCUCUCUCCCUGUCUGUCUGUCUGUCUCUUGCUCGCUCUCAGCCUUGACUUCUUCUCUGUUCCUUUCACAUCAAACCAGCAGCAGCUCAUGAAGGAUUUUGGGAUGCAUGUUGUCUUUAAUCUUGAAACGAGGGAAUUCUGGGACCUCAGAGGGAAUCUGGCCAUGACACACGGAUGGUUUGCGGAUGUUUCGUGGAUCUGAGCUCGCUGUGGAUUAUCAGUUCUAGUGUGUGUGUGUGUGUGUGUGUGUGUGAAUGAUGACACACGUCACAGACGAGGAGACACGCAUCUGUCCGUCAUGUGCUCGUGGUUUUGACGUUCCUCUCAUUCUGCCCUGCUCUCACACUCUCUGCGGCCGCUGUCUGACCGGAGGGGCGGGGCCUGAUCUGUGCAGGGGCGGGGUCAGGGGCGGGGUCUCCUCCUCUCAUCCAGUCGUUCUCUGUCCGAACUGUCGUCAUGGCGUUGAGCUGCCCUGCUUUGACUGGUCAUCUGCUCUGACCUGUCUGCCCUUUGACCCUACAGUGACCUUUGACCCUGUAAAGAGAGGGACGCAUGAGGAACAGAGAUGGGAGACGGAUGGCAGUGUGGAUCUUUCUGAAGAGGAAAUGGAACAAUCCGUUUCAGGUCUUAUCUUCACCCUCGAUUCGUCCUGCUCUGAUUCGUCGCUUCACCUCUCAAGCUCCGCCCUCUCCGUCACCUUCACAGGUCACAUGAUCUCAUCACAUGACCGCAGGGAUCAGGACUGUCCACUUCCUCAGGUGUGUGGCAGCGUGAGCGUCUCCAGAGGACAGUAUUACUGGGAGGUGGACGUCUGCAACAGCGCCAUCUACAGGAUCGGAGUGAUAUCAUCAUGUGAUGGGCGUGGCUGGUGGUUGGAGAGGCGUGGCUCUGCGUUUCACACUGUGUUUGAAGGACAGCAUGAGCUCCUCCCCUCUGUUCCUCCUCAGCUGAAGACAGUGGGCGUGUUUCUAAAUGUGGGCGGAGCUUCCAUAACCUUCCACAAUCCGGUAACUCAAGAGUUUCUCGCUGCAAUCCCCGCCCACUUUAGUGCCCUUCUCCAUCCUGCUCUUCAAUUGGGCCAGGGAAGACUCAAACUCCGCCCCGGCCUGCCGCCACCCAAUCACGUCUUCCUCAGCCACAGCUCUGCCUAUCGGGGUCCAGGAGGGGCGGGAAGCGGGCGCUGGAGGCGGGAUGUCACGUUUGGGUCGGUGAGUGCCGUGAUUCAGAAGUUUGAGGAGAUUUCAGCCGCGAUUUCGGACGGGGAUUCGGGUCUCGUCUCCAGCAUCAGCUUACUGUCUGACACCAAUAACAGUACAGAAUGGCUCCGUUCCAAAACCUAGUGUGCUUUCUACACAGGCAGCUCCCUAGUUAGACAGUAACAUCAUGCUGCCCUCUGAGAUCUACGGAGCCCCUAAAGGGACAUGAUAGUGGAAAAAAAUCAGAGUGGGAGGAAAAAAUAUUUUUCAAAUGUUUUGCAUUCUCUCGCAAAGAUAUUCAUCCUCUCACAAAACUUUGCAAUCUCUCGCAAAAAUAUUAAUUCUCUCGCAAAACUUUUGAGUUCUCUGCAAAGAUAUUCAUCCUCUCACAAAACUUUGCAAUCUCUCGCAAAAAUAUUAAUUCUCUCGCAAAACUUUUGAGUUCUCUGCAAAGAUAUUCAUCCUCUCACAAAACUUUGCAAUCUCUCGCAAAAAUAUUAAUUCUCUCGCAAAACUUUUGAGUUCUCUGCAAAGAUAUUCAUCCUCUCACAAAACUUUGCAAUCUCUCGCAAAAAUAUUAAUUCUCUCGCAAAACUUUUGAGUUCUCUGCAAAGAUAUUCAUCCUCUCACAAAACUUUGCAAUCUCUCGCAAAAAUAUUAAUUCUCUCGCAAAACUUUUGAGUUCUCUGCAAAGAUAUUCAUCCUCUCACAAAACUUUGCAAUCUCUCGCAAAAAUAUUAAUUCUCUCGCAAAACUUUUGAGUUCUCUGCAAAGAUAUUCAUCCUCUCACAAAACUUUGCAAUCUCUCGCAAAAAUAUUAAUUCUCUCGCAAAACUUUUGAGUUCUCUGCAAAGAUAUUCAUCCUCUCACAAAACUUUGCAAUCUCUCGCAAAAAUAUUAAUUCUCUCGCAAAACUUUUGAGUUCUCUGCAAAGAUAUUCAUCCUCUCACAAAACUUUGCAAUCUCUCGCAAAAAUAUUAAUUCUCUCGCAAAACUUUUGAGUUCUCUGCAAAGAUAUUCAUUCUUUUGCAAAACUUUUGAGUUCUCUGCAAAGAUAUUCAUUCUCUCACAAAACUUUUGAGUUCUCUCGUAAAACUUUUGAGCUCUCUUAAAAAGAUAUUAAUUUUCUCGCAAAACCAGUUGAGUUCGGACAAAAACUUCCUGUUUAUUAAUGCGGCUUAAUGAAGAUGAUAAAAAGGAACAAAUAUGCUAUAUUAUGUAUUAAAAAUAUGUACUGUGUACAUGAAAGCAAAUGAGCCCAAAAUAUGAGCUGAAUUGCAUGAUAAGCAUUUUCUCAUGCCCCACCCCCCCCCAAAAAAGUGUGCCUAACUUAAUAUAUAUACUAAAAAAAAAACAGUUAUAAAAAUUCCAAAUAAUUACAUUUAUUAAAAUAUACUCUGCACAAAAAAAGCAAUGUGCUAAGAUUUUUCUUUAAUAAUGUUUUAUCUACAGGGGAGAAAACAUGUGUUACUGUACAUUCCAUUCUUGGCUCAUCUGCUUGUCUGUGCGUAAUAUAAACUGUAAACUGUAUUUUAAAAUCACCAUCUUCGUUCAUUAGCCAACCUUAAGUGUUUUCUAUGAGGGAGAAAGUGCUUAAUGUGCAGAAGUUGUGUUCAUAUUCUGGGCUAUUCUGCUUAAUUAAUAGUAAUAUUAUUAAUACAGUUAUUAAUAUUAGGCUAAUAAUGUUAUCAGUAUUUAUUAUUAUCAAAUUUGGUCCUCCAAUGUCACUCUUUUAAAACUUUAAGCCAUAUUAAGCGCUUUAGAAUGUCCCAAAACUGUGCCUUGAGAUCUGUUUUUUUUUUUUUUUUUUUUUUACAAAAUAUAAAGCAUCAUCACAUGAAUGCUUCUUGAAAAACUUUGCAAAAAGCAAACAGCGCCACCUGUAGGGCAGAAAAUUUAGCUCAUUAGCUCAAGCUCAUUUAUUGUCUUCUUGUGAUUAAUUUAUUUUGUAUUUUAUGUAUUUAUAUUCAGUGGGACUAUAUUUUCUGUAUUAUAUUCAGUUGUUGCAAGAAAUUGUGUUUCCAAAAAGACGCUUGUCAUCCUUUUGAAUAAUGACUAAGAAUUGAACACACACCUGAUUGAAAUACUGUACAAUAACCAAAGAUGCCACUCAACUCAUUUACAGGAAAUACAUAAAAUAAUUUGGACAUAUUAAUCACUGUCAUACUGCCCAUUAAAAAAUUAUUUAUUUAUUUAUUUAUUUUCAAAAAAGUUUUAGAAAUAUUCCUGAAAUGCUGUAAAUAACAUGUAAAUAAUAAAACCUAUUUAUUAUUACA
ensembl:lncRNA